rnacentral:rRNA from 1 species
AUUGAACGCUGGCGGCAGGCCUAACACAUGCAAGUCGAGCGGAUGAAGGGAGCUUGCUCCUGGAUUCAGCGGCGGACGGGUGAGUAAUGCCUAGGAAUCUGCCUGGUAGUGGGGAUAACGUCCGGAAACGGGCGCUAAUACCGCAUACGUCCUGAGGGAGGAAGUGGGGGAUCUUCGGACCUCACGCUAUCAGAUGAGCCUAGGUCGGAUUAGCUAGUUGGUGGGGUAAAGGCCUACCAAGGCGACGAUCCGUAACUGGUCUGAGAGGAUGGUCAGUCACACUGGAACUGAGACACGGUCCAGACUCCUACGGGAGGCAGCAGUGGGGAAUAUUGGACAAUGGGCGAAAGCCUGAUCCAGCCAUGCCGCGUGUGUGAAGAAGGUCUUCGGAUUGUAAAGCACUUUAAGUUGGGAGGAAGGGCAGUAAGUUAAUACCUUGCUGUUUUGACGUUACCAACAGAAUAAGCACCGGCUAACUUCGUG